rnacentral:rRNA from 1 species
GGGGAUCGAAAGACCUUGYGCUUUAGGAGCGGCCGAUGUCUGAUUAGCUAGUUGGUGGGGUAAAGGCUUACCAAGGCGACGAUCAGUAGUUGGUCUGAGAGGACGACCARCCACACUGGGACUGAGACACGGCCCAGACUCCUACGGGAGGCAGCAGUGGGGAAUUUUGGACAAUGGGCGAAAGCCUGAUCCAGCCAUGCCGCGUGAGUGAAGAAGGCCUUCGGGUUGUAAAGCUCUUUCAGUCGGAAAGAAARAGUUGCAANGAAUAWUUGURAUUNAUGACGGUACCGACAGAARAAGCACCGGCUAACUACGUGCCAGCAGCCGCGGUAAUACGUAGGGUGCGAGCGUUAAUCGGAAUUACUGGGCGUAAAGGGUGCGCAGGCGGUUUUGYAAGUCAGAUGUGAAAUCCCCGGGCUUAACCUGGGAAUUGCGUUUGAAA